GCUUGGGUGGCUCAGUCAGUUGGGCGUCUGACUUCGGCUCAGGUCAUGAUCUUGCGGUCCGUGAGUUCGAGCCUCGCAUCGGGCU
rnacentral:tRNA from 1 species